rnacentral:rRNA from 1 species
CCUACGGGAGGCAGCAGUGGGGAAUCUUGCGCAAUGGGCGAAAGCCUGACGCAGCAACGCCGCGUGCGGGAUGAAGGCCUUCGGGUUGUAAACCGCUUUUAACAGGAACGAAAAUGACGGUACCUGUAGAAUAAGGUGCGGCCAACUACGUGCCAGCAGCCGCGGUGACACGUAGGCACCAAGCGUUGUCCGGAUUUAUUGGGCGUAAAGAGCUCGUAGGCGGUUCGAUAAGUCGGGUGUGAAAACUCUGGGCUUAACCCAGAGACGCCACUCGAUACUAUUGUGACUAGAGUUCGGUAGGGGAGCGGGGAAUUCCUAGUGUAGCGGUGAAAUGCGCAGAUAUUAGGAGGAACACCGGUGGCGAAGGCGCCGCUCUGGGCCGAAACUGACGCUGAGGAGCGAAAGCGUGGGUAGCAAACAGGAUUAGAUACCCUGGUAGUCCACGCCGUAAACGGUGGGCACUAGGUGUGGGCUCCAACCAACGGAGUCCGCGCCGUCGCUAACGCAUUAAGUGCCCCGCCUGGGAGUACGGCCGCAAGGUUAAACUCAAANAGAUAGACG